GGUCACAUCAUAUUGAAAAACCUGGUCUCAUAUGAUCACCAAAGUUAAGCAAUGUUGAGCUCAUUCAUUACUUAGCUGGGUGACCAUUUGAGAAUACCAGGUGCUGGAUG